UACGUAGGGUGCAAGCGUUGUCCGGAAUUAUUGGGCGUAAAGAGCUCGUAGGCGGUUCGUCACGUCGGCUGUGAAAACCUGGGGCUCAACCCCGGGCCUGCAGCCGAUACGGGCGAACUAGAAUUCGGUAGGGGAGACUGGAAUUCCUGGUGUAGCGGUGAAAUGCGCAGGUAUCAGGAGGAACACCGGUGGUGAAGGCGGGUCUCUGGGCCGAUAUUGACGCUGAGGAGCGAAAGCGUGGGGAGCGAACAGG
rnacentral:rRNA from 1 species